UUCAGGAUCAUUGAGCCGUUGACGUCCAGAUGCUCAAAGUUGCGUUUCAAACCUCUGGACAAUGACAUUCAACAGGAACGUCUGCUCGAGAUCAGGAAUUGAAGCUUUGAUGAAAGUGUCAGAGGGAGAUCUGAAGAAAGCCGUAACAUCUGCAGUGUGCCGGCAGACUGAACACUGAGAGAGAAAUGACUGAACAAAUCAUCAUUGAGAUCGCAGGGGUGGAUCCUCCCAAAGUGAUGCAGAUCUGUUACAAAGGCACUUUUGAGAAACUCAAGGUUACUGUUGAGGUGAGUAGUGGAUCACGUGUGUAAGCGCUCACGUUUGGAGUCUGCAUUUAAACCUCGUCUUUAUUUGGACAAGACAUGAUUGAUCAAGGGUACGCCGCAACAAAUAUUCUCAACCAGUUACUUGAUGUCAUGAUUGAGAAGAAGCUGAACAAUAAACAGAAGUCUGUCAUCACAGAGAAAAUAGCGGUGAGUGAUCAAAUGAUUCUGUUUUACAGGUUUUCACCUAGGUGGAUAAGUGUCUGGCAGAUGUUUGUGUGGUUUGUGUGUCUUU